rnacentral:rRNA from 1 species
GUCGAACGAUGAACCACUUCGGUGGGGAUUAGUGGCGAACGGGUGAGUAACACGUGGGCAAUCUGCCCUGCACUCUGGGACAAGCCCUGGAAACGGGGUCUAAUACCGGAUACUGAGCUACUUGGGCAUCCAAGUGGUUCGAAAGCUCCGGCGGUGCAGGAUGAGCCCGCGGCCUAUCAGCUUGUUGGUGAGGUAAUGGCUCACCAAGGCGACGACGGGUAGCCGGCCUGAGAGGGCGACCGGCCACACUGGGACUGAGACACGGCCCAGACUCCUACGGGAGGCAGCAGUGGGGAAUAUUGCACAAUGGGCGAAAGCCUGAUGCAGCGACGCCGCGUGAGGGAUGACGGCCUUCGGGUUGUAAACCUCUUUCAGCAGGGAAGAAGCGAAAGUGACGGUACCUGCAGAAGAAGCGCCGGCUAACUACGUGCCAGCAGCCCCGGUAAUUCA